GUAUGCAGUUAAGCAUUAUGCAAUAUUGCAUCAAAAUGAAGAAAACUCUAUUCUAGGCACUGCCACCAUAGUGCCCAUUAAAGGAAAAACAUGUCACUCACUCUUCUCAAAUUUACAGAAAAGAAACAUGGGCCUUAAGUGCAGCUUCCUUUGGAAAAGCAUUCUGUUUAGUUAAUUUUUCUGGAAGUUAUAUUUUUUUGUGAAAAAUGAUUUUUUUCGUUUAUUGGCAUUUUCAAGUUAUAUUGACACAUUCUUAGAAAUACAGAAAUAUAGUUUCUUUGGCACACUCAAGAAAUGACUAAGCAGCAUUUUGGGUGGUGUGUGCAGCAGUUGUUGCUUUUUAUCACACUGUGGGUGAAGAGGUUGACAGAAAAGCCAGAACUCUCUUAGUAAGAUUCUAAGCUCUCAUCAAGAGGUUUCCCACUAUCCCCAGUUCAUUUGACUAAUGAGAUGCAGUGACCUAGAAAUGUGCAACUAGACACUGUUGCUAAGGGUGGAGAGGUUAACAGAAAAGCCAAAACUCCCUUAGGAAGAUUCUAAGCUCUCAUCAAGAGGUUUCCCACAAUCCCCAGUUCAUUUGACUAAUGAGAUGCAGUGACCUAGAAAUGUGCAACCAGAGGCAUUGUUGAAGAGGCCACAGGUUUACAGAAGAAGCUUGCUCACAGUUGAUGUUAGAAGCAAUUCAGUUGAAGCUUUGCAGAUUAAUUAGUGUGGCAAUAGAAUUUCCCAGUUGAAGUUACUCAGUUAUUCAGUUACUCAGUCAGUCAAUUGCACCUUAUCCGGAUAAUUAGUGUGGCAAUAGAAUUUCCCAGUUGAAGUUACUCAGUUAGUCAGUUACUCAGUCAGUCAAUUGCACCUUAUCCGGAUAAUUAGUGUGGCAAUAGAAUAUGCCUCGCCUGAAAAAACAAAGCAUGGCCCAAAGAAGGGCACAUCAGAAGAAAAGUAUCGAGAGAAGUCGAAAGAGGGUGCCUGAGGCUGCCACGUCUACUAUUGUGCCUGCUUUAGCAGGCACGCCCACCUCGGUGGGCUCUGUGAAAAACUGUGAAAUUACCGUGAAAAACUGUGAAAUUACUGUGAAAAACUGUGAAAUUACUGAGAAAAGCAGUGAAAUUACUGAAAAUACUGAGAUUACACAAAUUACUGAAAAAAACAGUGAAAUUACUGAAAUCACUGAAAAAAGUGAAAAUACUGCAAUUACUGAAAACACUGAAUUUCCUGAACACACUGAGAUUCCCAUUGCUUCAGAUGUUACUGUUCAUGCAGCUUAUACAGCUGCUUCAAGUGAGACAGAUGCUACAGUUGACACAGCCUAUCCUGACAGUUUGAGUGCCACUGAUGCCCCUGGUCAUUCAAGUAGGUCUAUAAUAUAUUCAGACUAUUUUUCACCAUCAGAUAAGUCUGAAAAAUCUAACAUGCCAGUCAACCCAAAGCUCUCAACGGUACCCCACAAUUUAAAGAAAAAAUCAGUAGUUUUUCCUGAAAUUCAAAAAAAUGAACCCAAUAUGGUAACAUUAAAAACAUCCUUAAAACCUUUGGAAAAAAGUGUUCAAUAUUCAAAAAUGGGUUCAAUGAAGAAGGUACCAUUAACAAAACACACUGGUAAUACCAUUACCUCUGAUUCUAUUUCAUCCAUUUUUGAUAAAACAAAUUUGCAAAAACCCCAUUUGAAAAGACUACAUGAUGAAAUGAAGAGGCAGUUAAAAUGGACAGAAGACAAACAACAAAGCAAAAUUGACGCAGUGA
rnacentral:lncRNA from 1 species